GCGGGUUAAACCGGAAAUGGUGGAGCCACAGCGAAAGCGAGUCUUAAUAGGGCGUUUGUCAGUGUUUAUAGACCCGAACCCUGGUGAUCUAACCAUGGCCAGGAUGAAGCUUGGGUGAUACCAAGUGGAGGUCCGAACCGACUGAAGUUGAAAAUUCAGCGGAUGAGCUGUGGUUAGGGGUGAAAUGCCAAUCGAACCAGGAGCUAGCUGGUUCUCCCCGAAAUACGUUGAGGCGUAGCGUCUAGUGCUCCAGCAGGGGGGUAAAGCAACCAUUUCGGUGCGGGCUGCGAAAGCGGUACCAAAUCGAUAUGAACUCUGAAUACCCUGUGUGUAACUAGGCAGUCAGACUGUGGGGGAUAAGCUCCAUAGUCAAGAGGGAAACAGCCCAGACCGCCAGCUAAGGUCCCAAAAUUAACGCUAAGUGAUAAAGGAGGUGGGAUUGCCCAGACAACCAGGAGGUUUGCCUAGAAGCAGCCAUCCUCAAAGGAGUGCGUAAUAGCUCACUGGUCGAGCGAUCCUGCGCCGAAAAUGAAUGGGGCUAAGCGUUAUACCGAAGCUGCGGAUAAAUUUAUUUAUGGUAGGGGAGCGUUCUAUGUUGGGUGAAGCGUUAGCGUAAGCGGACGUGGACGGCAUAGAAGUGAGAAUGUCGGCUUGAGUAGCGAAAACAUGGGUGAGAAUCCCAUGCCCCGAAACCCUAAGGGUUCCUCCGGCAGGCUCGUCCGCGGAGGGUUAGUCUGGACCUAAGGCGAGGCCGAAAGGCGUAGUCGAUGGAUAACAGGUCAAUAUUCCUGUACCAGUUAUGUUUUGGGAAGGGGGACGGAGAAGGCUAGCCAGGCCAGAUGUUGGUUACUGGUUCAAGCGUUCAAGGCUUUGAGAGAUGGAGAAAACAUCUUGAGCUGAGGCGUGAGUACGAGCUGCUACGGCAGCGAAGUUGGUGAUGUCAUGCUUCCAAGAAAAGCCCUAUACCCGUUAAGACAUAAAUGCCAGUACCCGAAACCGACACAGGUGGGGUGGUAGAGAAUACCGAGGGGCGCGAGAUAACUCUCUCUAAGGAACUCGGCAAAAUGGCCCCGUAACUUCGGGAGAAGGGGUGCCAGCGAGAGCUGGUCGCAGUGAAGAGGCGCAAGCGACUGUUUACCAAAAACACAGGUCUCCGCUAAGUCGCAAGACGAUGUAUGGGGGCUGACACCUGCCCAGUGCCGGAAGGUUAAGGAAGCUGGUUAGCUUUUUGCAAAGCUAGCGACUGAAGCCCCGGUGAACGGCGGCCGUAACUAUAACGGUCCUAAGGUAGCGAAAUUCCUUGUCGGGUAAGUUCCGACCCGCACGAAAGGUGUAACGAUUUGCGCGCUGUCUCGGAGAGAGGCUCGGCGAAAUAGAAUUGUCUGUGAAGAUGCGGACUACAUACACCCGGACAGAAAGACCCUAUGAAGCUUUACUGUAGUUUGAUAUUGUGCUCGGGCUCUAAUUGCGCAGAAUAGGUGGGAGACGUUGAAAUAGUACUUGUGGGUAUUAUUGAGUCAUCGGUGAGAUACCACUCUAUUAGAGCUAGGGUUCUAACGCUUACCCGUUAUCCGGGAAGCGGACAGUAUCUGAUGGGCAGUUUGACUGGGGCGGUCGCCUCCUAAAAGGUAACGGAGGCGCACAAAGGUUCCCUCAGGCUGGUUGGAAAUCAGUCGUUGAGUGCAAAAGCAGAAGGGAGCUUGACUGUGAGACCUACAAGUCGAACAGGGACGAAAGUCGGUUUUAGUGAUCCGACGGUUCUGCGUGGAAGGGCCGUCGCUCAACGGAUAAAAGUUACUCUAGGGAUAACAGGCUGAUCUCCCCCAAGAGUUCACAUCGACGGGGAGGUUUGGCACCUCGAUGUCGGCUCAUCGCAACCUGGGGCUGAAGUCGGUCCCAAGGGUUGGGCUGUUCGCCCAUUAAAGCGGUACGCGAGCUGGGUUCAGAACGUCGUGAGACAGUUCGGUCCAUAUCCGGUGUAUGCGCAGGAAUAUUGAGAGGAUUUCUCCCUAGUACGAGAGGACCGGGAGGAACGCACCUCUGGUGUGCCAGUUAUCGUGCCAACGGUAAACGCUGGGUAGCCAUGUGCGGAGUGGAUAACCGCUGAAAGCAUCUAAGUGGGAAGCCCACCUCAAGAUGAGUAUUGCCAUGGCUUAAGCCAGUAAGGUCACGGGAAGAACACCCGUUGAUAGGCUCUACGUGGAAGCUUGGUAACAAGUGCAGCGGAGGAGUACUAAUAGACCGAGGGCUUGACCA
rnacentral:rRNA from 1 species